GGUAAGGGGUCACAAAACUCAGUCCAACCCAUUAGGAAGAAGAAAAGAAUUAAAGCUCUUGGAGCUUUACUCUUCUAUCAGAGAUUCAUCAACCAAAUCAGGGAAUAAAACCAGCAAAUUAGUAAAACCUCUCAUAUUGAUCACAGUACCUUUCCUUGCUUCCUGAACCCUGAAAUGGUUCAGGCAGGCAAGACUAGACAGCAAAGAAACGAGGCUGUCUUGUGGGCAGAAGACCUGAGCUCAUUUCUUCCCACCAGAGCACUGUUUGUGCUUGGGCAAGUCAAUCUAUACUUUGAUUCCUCGACUGAAGGACAGCAAUUAUCCCACAUCACUAAACCCAAGAAGUCUUCCCUUAGAGAAAAUUCACUGGAUAUAGGACUACAUUGUCUCCUGUGAGAGCACAUCUUAUAACAAAUGCAAGUCCAGUCAUGGGGCUCUGCACUAAAGACUUCUGAACCUGGUCUCAGAAUGAUACUUGGAACUGAGAGGAGAAACUGCACACAGGAGCCAUGUUCCAUGAGCAGACAAGAAACAAGAUUAUACAAAAUCCAAGCUGUACAGAGUUCCCAGCUGCAGUUCCAGUUUGAGUAAGUCUUCAAACCAUGACAACACAGCCUUUUUCACGUCCACCUGCUGCCUUGUAUUCAUACAACAGCAGCCUAGCCUGCUGCACACAAAUGGUCUCAGAAAGCCUUACAUCUCUCUGGCCCAGGCUUAUAUGUCUCUGGUUCUCAGCAUCUUUGUUGCUUCAUUGAAGCUGGGAAGAACUGAGAGCUAAGGACUGUUAUAUCCCUCUGGUUAUAAACACAUCAGACAUUAAAAACUCUUUGAUCCAUUUAAUAAAUCAUGGCCACAAUGUUGUAAUAGAGUCUAGAAGUGGGACUGUUGCCAAAAACUGUGUUGUGAACUAUUGUGAAACAAGUUAGUCACUGAAAACAGUUUUCCAGAGAUCCCAGACUGAAUGGUGAAGCCCUACAACCCCUUUGUUUAAUUAUCCAAAGGUAGAUGGAUCAGCUAAGGAGCCUCCACUUUUAGGUUCAAUACUCAGUGGAAGUGCUGAGCACCAAGGACCACCCAGUGGCAAUACCAUCAGCAAUACUCACAAGAAAAACAAGGUGAUGAUGUUGUUUUACAAAAGCUUCAGUAAAGUGAAAAACAUCUAGGCAGGAAGCAGCAAAUAAACCUGGGAAAAAUACAAAGCACCUCAUGCUCCUUGAAUUACUCAAGUGAUUUGGGGCUGCAUUUCAGCCCAAAGUA